AUAAGACCUUACAGCUCACAAUGAAUGUCAGAGCAAAUGAGAAUCAUGAGGUCAAACGAACUGCCUGAAGAGCUCAGAGACAGAAUUGUGGCAAGGCACAGAUCUGGCCAAGGUUACUAAAAAAAUGUCUGCUUCACUUCUGGUUCCUAAGAGCACAGUGGCCUCCAUAAUCCUUAAACGGAAGACGUUUAGGACGACCAGAACCCUUCCCAGAGUUGGCCCUCUGGCUAAACUGAGCAAUCGGGGGAGAAGAGGCUUGGUGAGAGAGGUCAAGAAGAACCCAAAGGUCACUGUGGCUGAGCUCCAGUGAUGCAGUCGGGAGAUGGGAGAAAGCUCCAGAAAGUCAACCAUCACUGCAGCCCUCCACCAGUCGGGGCUUUAUGGCAGAGUGGCCCGACGGAAGCCUCUCCUCAGUGCAAGACACGUGAAAGCCCGCAUGGAGUUUGCUAAAAAAAAAAAACACCUGAAGGACUCCAAGAUGGUGACCAAGAUAGAACUUUUUGGCCUGAAUUCUAAGCGCUGCAGGGACAGGCCAAGUACAGGGAUAUCCUGGACGAAAACCUUCUCCAGAGUGCUCAGGACCUCAGACUGGGCCGGAAGUUCACCUUCCAACAAGACAUUGACCCUAAGCACACAGCUAAAAUAACGAAGGUGUGGGUUCAGAACAACUCUGUGACUGUUCUUGAAUGGCCCAGGAUCUGCAAGGAGGAAUGGCAGAGGAUCCCCAAGUCCAGGUGUGUAAAACUUCUUGCAUCAUUCCCAAAAAGACUCAUGGCUGUAUUAGCUCACAAGGGUGCUUCUACUAAAUGCUGAGCAAAGGGUCUGACUACUUAUGGCUGUGUUAUAUUUCAGUUUUUCUUUUUUAAUAAAUCUGCAAAAAUGUCAACAAUUCUGUUUCUUUUCUGUCAAUAUGGGAUGCUGUGUUUACAUUAAUGAGGGAAAGAAAUUAAUUGAUUUUAGCAAAUGGCUGAAAUAUAACAAAGAGUAAAAAAUUUAAGGGGGUUUGAAUACUUUCUGUACCCAGUGUAGAAAUAUAUACUGUAUAUUUACUGUAUAUUAAGUUCUAAUACGGACUCAGAGAAUGCUUAAUAUGAAUUAAAGCGUUAUGUUAAGUUGAACUAUUAUUUUGAAAUCUAAUAAUAAUAAUGGCCCACCCAUCGCUGCAAGUGUCAAUGUUAAGGCCCGAAAGCCAAGUGAAUUUUCUUUCAGGGAUUCAGGAAAUGGUCACUGCAUACUCAGUAACCAUAUCAGCCAGUGACUAUUAACCAAAGUCCAACGUUCACUUCUGGAAGACUCCAUGCGGUGACUCUAACAUGUCCUGUGAAAGAAUGAGAAGGCGGUGUUGGGAGAAAAAAAAGAUGGAGCUUUGCAUUGUGUUGAUAGCAGCCAGUGUGGCAUCAGUGUCUGCAGCAGAACAGCUCAGCAUUAUAGAAAGUCUCCUUUUGGCCACACAUCAGCGUCCCUGGCUUUGGGGGGUCUAUGUUUUCGCCGUUGGACUACCCGUCAUUCUUUUCAUUAGCUUCAUGUGGCCUGACAAGAGGUUUGGCCCCCCUGACCAUCAAUAUUACUAUAAGAAGUCGGAUGAUUUACAACCAGAUGACCCUGAGAUCUCGCAGAAGAAAUAGCAGUGUUGAAGCUGACAGAACAUUGGCAAGAGCAAGAGACACUCAUGGUUACCAGAGUGACCGUCACCAAGAUACAAAGAGUCGACAGAUCCACGAACGCCAACCCUUUUCUUGAGCGCGCCCGGCUCUCCCAAAAUGUGACGAAAGAAGCUGAAGUAUCAACAAACAGGAAGUGGAAGACCUCAUUUCCUUUCACACAUCAUAUUUGAAUUCCAUGCUUCUUAUUUCUGUACUUGCAUUUAAACUAUUUCCUCGGGCAGUACAUAUUAAGUGUUUGUUUGAUGUGAUGUUUUGUUUUGUUUUUUUUAAAUAAAUGAACUUUUCUAUGAUGUUCUAAUUUAUUGAUAUGUACCUUUUUAUUGGCAGAGAGAGGGUCAAUUAAAAAUUUAUUAUUCCAACAUAUUGAAUCGAUACAUGACAAGAAAUGUGUGAAUUUUCUUAUUUUGUUGUGUCUAAGAGGCAAAUAAAAAUCAACAAGC